GCAUCACACUAGUUACCCCCCUCCCCAAUAUGCGCACACAAUAACAACACAUGACACUUGUCUGGGGGGAGAGCGCCGCCUGGUUCAGGCGCCGCAUAUUUUCGAAAGUACAAAGACAGGGAAGUUUAUUUCACGCACAUUUAAAUACCUAAAGCCAUCAAAACUGCUAGCCUUUCAUGUAGUAGAUCUUUCAAAUUUCCCAUCUACCAUGUCGUUUGAAGAGUAUCAGGAAUUCCAGCAUUCGCAGCUUCCGUCGCCCCUCCUGCUCUGAGGGAACGUAAA